CUGCAGCCCGAGUGGUGAUCGAUUUUAUUGAGCCUAAAGCGUCCGUAGCCGGACUAGUAAACCCUUGGGUAAAUUGGGCAGCUUAACUGUCCAAAUUCCGAGGGGACUGCUAGUCUUGGGACCGGGAGAGGUCAGAGGUACUCAAGGGGUAGGGGCUAAAUCCUGUCAUCCUUUGGGGACCACCAGUGGCGAAGGCGUCUGACUAGAACGGAUCCGACGGUAAGGGACGAAACCCUGGGGCGCGAACCGGAUUAGAUACCCGAGUAGUCC
rnacentral:rRNA from 1 species